rnacentral:lncRNA from 1 species
UGAACUGGGCUAAAAAUUUAAAAUAAAAUAAAAAAACAAAACAAACAUUUUCAUGGUUUUUGUAUUAUCUCUGUUAAAAACAAAUUAAGUUAAAUAAUAAAAAGAAUAAAUAAUAAAAAAAGAAAUUAAGACCAUAUAAACAUUUUCUGAUUUUUGUAUUAAAAACAAAAUAAAUUAAAUAGUAAAAAGAAUUAAUUAAAAAUUAAAAAACAAAAAAAGAAAAAAAAGAAAUGGAAACAGCAGAAGCUCGUCUCCAACGCUAUCGUCUUCCUCACUCUCUCUCAAACUCUCUCAGGCGAAAACCUCUCCCUGCUCUCAGAAUCACUAUCCCUCAAACUUACCCAAUCGUCUCUCAAAUGCACUCGA